GACGAACGCUGGCGGCGUGCUUAACACAUGCAAGUCGAACGAAGUGGCGAACGGGUGAGUAACGCGUAAUCAACCUGCCCUUCAGAGGGGUACAACCGUUGGAAAAGACUGAUAAUACCGCAUACUGCAGGAGGGGUUUGCGUUGGAUUGGCUCGUUGGCGGGGUAACGGCCCACCAAGGCUAUGAGCAGUAGCCGGGCUAGGAGGAUGGUCGGCCACAUUGGGAAUGUGUAACGGCCCAGACUCCCACGGGUGGCAGCAGUGGGGGAUCUGCGGAAAUGGGCGAAAGUCGGACGGAGCAACGCCGCGUGAGUGAGGACGGCCUUCGGGUUUGAAAGCUCUGUUAAUCGGGACGCGGUACCGGAAGAGAAAGCCACGGCUAACUACGUGCCAGCAGCCGCGGUAAUUC
rnacentral:rRNA from 1 species